CCGUGCGCAGCUACACAUGCAAGUCGAGCGAGCUCUUCGGAGCUAGCGGCGGACGGGUUAGUAACGCGUGGGAACGUGCCCUUCACUGCGGAAUAGCCACUGGAAACGGUGAGUAAUACCGCAUACGCCCUUCGGGGGAAAGAUUUAUCGGUGAAGGAUCGGCCCGCGUUAGAUUAGAUAGUUGGUGGGGUAACGGCCUACCAAGUCUACGAUCUAUAGCUGGUUUUAGAGGAUGAUCAGCAACACUGGGACUGAGACACGGCCCAGACUCCUACGGGAGGCAGCAGUGGGGAAUCUUGGACAAUGGGCGCAAGCCUGAUCCAGCCAUGCCGCGUGAGUGAUGAAGGCCUUAGGGUCGUAAAGCUCUUUCGCCAGAGAUGAUAAUGACAGUAUCUGGUAAAGAAACCCCGGCUAACUCCGUGCCAGCAGCCGCGGUAAUACGGAGGGGGUUAGCGUUGUUCGGAAUUACUGGGCGUAAAGCGCACGUAGGCGGAUCAGAAAGUUGGGGGUGAAAUCCCGGGGCUCAACCCCGGAACUGCCUCCAAAACUCCUGGUCUUGAGUUCGAGAGAGGUGAGUGGAAUUCCGAGUGUAGAGGUGAAAUUCGUAGAUAUUCGGAGGAACACCAGUGGCGAAGGCGGCUCACUGGCUCGAUACUGACGCUGAGGUGCGAAAGUGUGGGGAGCAAACAGGAUUAGAUACCCUGGUAGUC
rnacentral:rRNA from 1 species